UGCCCCUAGUGGACCGCUGAGGUGGUGGAUCAAAUAGAAAGGGUGUGGAUUGUGAAGGAGACAUGAACAGUGAAGGAAAAGGAUUAAGGAAUGGGGCAUGUGAAGGAAAUAGCCAUGAACGUGGUGGGGAAUGGAAGGGUGCAUGGCCAGCCAGUUAGCGUUGUCAGCAUCUCUUCUCGCCAAGGUUUGUCACAUCAUUGGCUUUGCAAAGAACAGCUGACACCACACGAAUCUAUCGACCGGCUCCUCGUUGAAUUUUCCUUUGGAGAGUCCUCUUUCAGCCAUCUAGUUCGAUCCGGGUUUGAUUCCAAGCCAUUUGUAUUAAUCAAUCAGCAGCAGCUAGAUGACUAUUCGAUUCCGACUAGAUAAAUGCCAACCAUCCAUAUCGUUUUGGACAGCCGAGAUUGAUCGGCUCGGAUCAUGCAGCAUUACAGGUUCCUUUCGCACAGGGACAACAUCCAGAAGGCCUCACCAGCUCCACUGAUAAAGAGGCAAAGGGCAAAGAGAACACAACACUAUGGAAGCCUCCAUAGAAUUUAUGUUCUUGGUAGUAUGUCCUGCUGCUUCCAUUGAUCUGGCAAUAAAGGUACGCCUGUUAAUUCUUUGGUAUGGAUUCUAUUAUCCUCAUUGUGCAUGAUGGUGCCUGUUAAGUUUGGUUUUCUUUCUAAUCUCCAUAGGAUUGUUCGGUUAUUCAGUUCAAACUCUAAAUCAUCUUUAGAUUAGGAUAUAAGUUUCACCUUCCUCAACAUGGCUUGUGAAACUAGGAGCAAGUAACUGUAAGUUCGUGUUAACAAUAGACUAUGGAUCGUUAAUUCUACUCAAUGACACUCUUUAUUUUGAUCGAGUGUUAA